CCGUGCUAGACGGGGAGGUAGCGGUGCCCUGUAACUCGCAAUCCGCUGUAGCGAGGUUGAAUUCCUGUUAGAGGUUUUGUCGAUGUGAGGCUGGAGCCUAUGUGUGGUGUUGACGGUUUGGUCCUUCGCAAUAUGCGCUUAUGAACCUGGUCAGGUCCGGAAGGAAGCAGCCAUAAGUAAGUUAGCGUAUGUGCCGGAGGGAAGCCUAACCUGAGCUGUCGCAUAGGAGUGCCGCUUGGAUCGCAAUUAUCAAUAACAGGUGCACGG
rnacentral:SRP_RNA from 1 species